rnacentral:rRNA from 1 species
CGCUGGCGGCAGGCCUAACACAUGCAAGUCGAGCGAGACCUUCGGGUCUAGCGGCGGACGGGUGAGUAACGCGUGGGAAUAUGCCCUUCGGUUCGGAAUAGCCCCGGGAAACUGGGAGUAAUACCGGAUACGGUCUACGGACGAAAGAUUUAUCGCCGAAGGAUUAGCCCGCGUUGGAUUAGGUAGUUGGUGGGGUAAUGGCCUACCAAGCCGACGAUCCAUAGCUGGUUUGAGAGGAUGAUCAGCCACACUGGGACUGAGACACGGCCCAGACUCCUACGGGAGGCAGCAGUGGGGAAUCUUAGACAAUGGGGGAAACCCUGAUCUAGCCAUGCCGCGUGAGCGAUGAAGGCCUUAGGGUUGUAAAGCUCUUUCAGCGGGGAAGAUAAUGACUGUACCCGCAGAAGAAGCCCCGGCUAACUCCGUG